CAGGAAACUGGAUCUUGGGUCCAGGGUGGAUGGAGGACAGCGAGAGCCCAGCCAAGCUGUAACACUGGCUGCGGGGUUUACGGUGGUUAUGGUGUCUGGUGGAGUGCUUGGAGUACUCAGUGAGCACUAGGAAGCAUCGAUUGGUGGAGGCACCCAGUCAGGAUGCCAGGCGGUCCGCCACAACCCGAUCCUUUCUCACCGACAGGUCAAAGGUGGGGUUCCUCAUGCAUCAGCUCAC